GCGCCAGUAGUCUAAUGGUAGGACGUCGCCCUGCCACGGCGGAGAUCCGGGUUCGAAUCCCGGCUGGCGCA
rnacentral:tRNA from 1 species